rnacentral:rRNA from 1 species
AUUGAACGCUGGCGGCAGGCCUAACACAUGCAAGUCGAACGAGUGGCGGACGGGUGAGUAAUGUCUGGAAAACUGCCUGAUGGAGGGGGCUAAAUACUGGAAACGGUAGCUAAUACCAAAUACCAUAAGAUGUGCCCAUAUGGGAUGAGCUAGGUGGUGGGGUAACGGCUCACCAAGGCGACGAUCCCUAGCUGGUCUGAGAGGAUGACCACCCACACUGGACCUGAGACACGGUCCAGAUUCCUACGUGAGGCAGCAGUGGGGAAUAUUGCACAAUGGGCGCAAGCCUGCUGCAGCCAUGCCGCGUGUAUGAAGAAGGCCUUCGGGUUGUAAAGUACUUUCAGCGGGGAGGCGUUACCCGCAGAAGAAGCACCGGCUAACUCCGUGCCAGCAGCCGCGGUAAUAC